rnacentral:rRNA from 1 species
UACGGGAGGCAGCAGUGGGGAAUCUUCCGCAAUGGGCGCAAGCCUGACGGAGCAACGCCGCGUGAGUGAAGAAGGUCUUCGGAUCGUAAAGCUCUGUCGAAGGGGACGAACGUGCCGGACGUGAACAACGUAGGGCAAUGACGGUACCUUUCAAGAAAGCCACGGCUAACUACGUGCCAGCAGCCGCGGUAAU